rnacentral:ncRNA from 1 species
CUUGCGUAAUCCGAAAAGCUUACAGAUUAGGAG